AACAAAGGUCUAAGUAUACUAAAAGCACCAUAUCCCAUCUGAUCUUGGAAGCUAAGCAGUAUCAGCCCUGGUUAGUGCUUAGAUGGGAAACCACCAAUGAAUAUCAAGUGUUGUAGGCU
rnacentral:rRNA from 1 species